rnacentral:rRNA from 1 species
UACGGAGGGCGCAAGCGUUGUUCGGAAUCACUGGGCGUAAAGCGCGUGCAGGCGGCUUGGCAAGUCGGGUGUGAAAUCCCGGAGCUCAACUCCGGAACUGCACCCGAAACUGCCUCGCUAGAGUCCCGGAGAGGAUGGCGGAAUUUCCGGUGUAGAGGUGAAAUUCGUAGAUAUCGGAAGGAACACCAGCGGCGAAGGCGGCCAUCUGGACGGUGACUGACGCUCAGACGCGAAAGCGCGGGGAGCAAAC